UCCAGACUCCUACGGGAGGCAGCAGUGGGGAAUCUUCCGCAAUGGGCGAAAGCCUGACGGAGCAACGCCGCGUGAUCGAAUGAAGGCCUUCGGGUUGUAAAGAUCUGUUGACAGGGACGAAUAAGCAAUGCGAAUAGUUUUGUGUAUGACGGUACCUGUUUAGAAAGCUCCGGCUAACUCCGUGCCAGCAGCCGCGGUAAUACGGAGGAUGCGAGCGUUAUCCGGAUUUAUUGGGUUUAAAGGGUGCGCAGGCGGAGGUGCAAGUCAGCGGUCAAAUUGCGGGGCUCAACCCCGUACUGCCGUUGAAACUGCAUCCCUUGAGUGCGCGAGAAGUAUGCGGAAUGCGUGGUGUAGCGGUGAAAUGCACAGAUAUCACGCAGAACUCCGAUUGCGAAGGCAGCAUACCGGCGCGCAACUGACGCUCAUGCACGAAAGCGUGGGUAUCGAACAGGAUUAGAUACCCGUGUA
rnacentral:rRNA from 1 species